GGCCGCCGGGGAGGCGGGGAACGGGGAGGCAGAGCCCCGGGGAGGAGCGGCUGGCAGCCGAGCGUUGGACGAGCUCGGAAGGGAGUUAACCGCUUCGAGGCAUCGCCGGCAGCGGCGGGCUGGGAGGAGGAGACCGUGGGGCUCGGAGGAUCACAGAGCAAAGGGAGCUCAAAGGGUACUGCAAUCCCAUGCACGCAGGCUGCUCAGAGGGAAGCAGGCGUGGUGGGGUUGCCCUUGCAGGGAGGAUGAAGGCAAGCACCGUGACAGCUCUCUGCUCCUCCCUGCUGCUCGUGCUGCAGCCGGCACACCCUCCUCACCCCUUGGCAGCACAGUGACGAAAUAAGGAUGUUUGCAGGAGGGGCGGAAAGGCAUUGUUCUCCCAGCCAUCACACAUCACACGAGCUCGGGAGGCCCAGCGCAGGCUGAAGGAGCAGCAAGCCCCGGUCCCUCUGACAGCAGGCACCAGGGGCAUGGUAAACACACAGGAAUGUUUUCCCUACGCCACCUCCUGGCGCCUGGAGAUCUCUGGCUUCUCAAGGCAGAGGUUGGGCUUCGGCGACUAAUGGCUGUGUGCGUGUGCAGAUAUUUCUCGGGUGAAGCAAUCCCCUUCUGGCACUCAGUGUCCCGCAGCGGGGAGAGCCGCGAUUUAUCCACGCGCCACAGGAAGCAAUGCCUCCUGUUUGCUGCCCUUGGCUGACUUUGUUUGCUGCCGUUCGCGUCAGAAUAAGCAACUGUGCUCUCUUCAGCCAGGAAUUCACACAAUUCCACUCUCCCAUUUCACCCCGGUGCUCCUCAGUGGCUUCCCAGCAGUUAACAACCUGCUCCUGCCACCAGCUGCCAGCCCCCUUCCAGGGCCUGCCCCCCCGGAGGCAGGUCCAGCAUUUAUAUUUACAGCACUUAGCUCACUAACCAGGGAGGAAGAAAGUCCUGCUUCGGGCCUUGGAUGAGUUUCAUCCAAAACUGAACGAAUAUCAGCUGUUGAUUACAAGAAGAUCGUCUGGACUGAGCAUGAGGAAGCCUGUUCCUCGCUGAGCUGUGCCCAGGUAACCUCAGGCGUGUUUUGCAACAGAUUUGCUAUGGCCAUGCUAGGUUUAAUUCAGGCAGGUUUUUUAAAAACAAUAGUGAUCAGCUUAGGGCUGAUGGAUCAGCCACAGCCCUCCAGGAGAAGUGUUCAGCUCCUGAAGUUCUUCAGAGGGACCUGCAGAGGGAACGCCUGAGGUGGAGCACUUUUGGGGUCAAACAGGAAACUGCAGAGAAUCUCCCAGAAGACAGUAGCGGGUUUUCUCUUUUUGCUAACAACAUGAUCUUAAAGAAUAAGCUCAGGAUGGCAGCCUGCACGGUCCAGAGAGGUGACUGCCCUUUGUCUUCUGCUCUGUGCUUCCAUGCCAACACCUUGGAAGUCAACCAGAAGGUGAAUUGUGUGACAGCUACCUGCACCAUGUCCAGGAAAUCAGAAACCAGAAGAAAGGGUUCCUCUGUGGUGUUGGCCAGUGUCCCAGGGACCUGCAGCAGCUGGGGCUCACGUUGGACCCCUGCCCACUAGAGGUUUUCGCUGAUAGCAAAUUUUGUUGCUCUGAUCAGAAACUUUGCUGCCCUUCUCCCUCUGCAGCCAGCUGGGUUCAGACCGGCUCUGGGGUUUCUGCCAGGCUGCUGUGAGAUUCCUGAAAAUGUUUCCUACAGGAAAUAUUUCCUACAGGAGAACAGCUGAUUCCUGCUGGAAGAAGAAACAUCCUUAGUGCUCUGCUUCUGAAGAAGCCAGGAGAGGGAGCUAGCCAGCCAGUUACUGCACCGCCCGGAUUUCCAGAUCUCCCUGUGUGCCAUGGGAUGAAAGCAAACACACUUAAGUACACACACUGAUUUCCCCAGAAGUCCUGGAGGGAAGGUUUGGUCUGUGCAGACCUGGGGGCGUUCAUUUACACAGACAGGAUGGGCAUCGGGCAGGAGGGGAAACUGAGGCACAGAGCAGGCACCUUGCUGAAGCUGGUUGGUGGCAUCCCCCUUGGGGACCCUCAGAGUCCCACUUUGGGUUGUAAUUGCCUUGCAUCGGUCGGCACAGACCUCCCUGUGUGCUCUGGGUCUGGGGUCGGUGCAGAGGGCCCGUUUUAUCACCACCUCCGAUGUCACACCUGUACGGACACACAGCUUGCACGGCGCCGAUGGCGAGUGGGGAUGGCCCUCACCCGUCCCCUUCCUGGAGCAGAAAGCCUCAAAGCACCAAGGUCUGUGCUCACAGGAAGCAAGUGGAUCGAUCGAUCAGCCCUUCGGACCCCCCUGCCUUGUCCUUCCCCUCUUCUCUCCCCUGGCCUAGCAAGAUCACCCCUGCGAUGGGAAGAAAUAAAUAAAUAACUGAAUAAAAAUGCUGACGUGGAGAAGUCAAUCA